rnacentral:lncRNA from 1 species
UUAAGAAAUACUUUUUUAUUUGUAAUAGUAGUAGUUGCUUUGUGGAGGAAGGUAAAUGAAAGGAUAUUUCAUUCCCUUUCUUAAACCACGCACAUAAGGACAGUAUCAGAAUUAGCCACUGGUACAGAAACAGGGCAGUGUAUAGUUACUUUAUACACAGCUGAACCAAACAACUUGCUUUAAGAGCAGUCAGUGUGGAUCACAGCAGUUAUUCAUUUACAUUAAUCAGCUCUCGUUCUCUGCAAUUGCUGUGGGUGAGGUGGCACUCUACUGCAGUCCCUGUACUUUUAUUCUAUGUUAAAGUUUGGUUUUCCAUCCUCACUGUGUUCCAUUUACAUCAUUCUGGAAUGCGAAGUGGUGCUGGCAUGAAAUUUCUCCUAAGAAACUGGAUUUACUGUGAAGAGUACAAGAUGAUUUGGUCAAGUCCCAGAAGUUUUUUUUCUAUUCGUUUACAAGGCCCAAGGAGUCCCUGUCAUCUCAACAGAAGCAAUUGAAUUUGUUUCUUAGAGCCACAACAUGAAAUCAUGUAAAUGGUGUAACUUCUGAAUGUAUUUGUAUCCUGGGGAUGGAAACAAAGCUCAUUAGUGGAAGACAAAAUGGAGUUCAUUCAGUGAUAAUAAUCUAUAGUUCUGUUGUUGUUUUUGGUUGUUUGUUUUUGUCAGAAUUUUAAAAGUGGGGCCAGAUUUUCAGAAGCCUGGUCAUAACUGCUGGAUUUCUCACUCCUUUGUAGUGAGUACUAAAUAUGUAUAAAAAAGUAACAAUGAUGUGGUAGUAUUUACUCUUACAUGAUAACUUCUAAUUAAUAUUAAUUACUUUGCUAUCCAGCCCCCAAAUGAAUGAAUAAGCCGUACAUAAUAUGACCUGGGAAAUGCAUAAGAUCCAAAGAAUCCUUUCUUAGAUUGCUGAACCAUUUUUGUUUAAUGUAGUUGUCUCUAUCUGUGGAAAUACUCUUACAAAUUGAUGGGACUCAUAUAGAAAGGUAUAAAUUUAUUAACUUAUAUCUCUACUUAAACAGUAACCAAAACUAGGUCUAUCUCAGUGUUCACUUGAACCAUUUGGAUAUUUUGGAACUAACUCAUAUUACAUAAUAUUUUAAUGUUAACAUGAGUGGGUAUAUCUUAGUUCGCCUGUAUAUCUUUGUUUUGUUUGUUUGCCCUUCUCUCUUCCCACCUCCCCAUUUGUUUAUUUGUUUGCUUGGUUUUAUUGUUUUGUUUUCCAGACGGAUCAUGUGUAUAUAAAAGGUGGAAGAGAAAGUAUGUUCUAACGUAGGGUACAAGUGCAAGAUUGUUUUGAGUUUGAGAUUUUUGUUUGAUUUUAACUUUGGAUGUCAAUAUCUGCUCAUGUGGUUAUUCUUUGUGUAGCCUGACUCUAGUAAGUUUCUGCUUUAAUUUCUUUUCCAAGAAUCAUCUGGCAAAUGUUUUCUUACAGCAUUUUAUAUAUUAAAACUGAUCUGCUUCUUGAGUUCUUAACUCUUGUUAAAAGAAAGAAAUGUUC